rnacentral:rRNA from 1 species
CAGCCGCCGCGGUAAUACGUAGGUGGCAAGCGUUGUCCGGAAUUAUUGGGCGUAAAGGGCUCGCAGGCGGUUUCUUAAGUCUGAUGUGAGAGCCCCCGGCUCAACCGGGGAGGGUCAUUGGAAACUGGGAAACUUGAGUGCAGAAGAGGAGAGUGGAAUUCCACGUGUAGCGGUGAAAUGCGUAGAGAUGUGGAGGAACACCAGUGGCGAAGGCGACUCUCUGGUCUGUAACUGACGCUGAGGAGCGAAAGCGUAGGGAGCGAACAGGAUUAGAUACCCGCGUAGUCCCUGUCUCUUAUAC